rnacentral:rRNA from 1 species
GAUGAACGCUGGCGGCGUGCCUAAUACAUGCAAGUCGAGCGAACAGACGAGGAGCUUGCUCCUCUGACGUUAGCAGCGGACGGGUGAGUAACACGUGGAUAACCUACCUAUAAGACUGGGAUAACUUCGGGAAACCGGAGCUAAUACCGGAUAAUAUAUUGAACCGCAUGGUUCAAUAGUGAAAGACGGUUUUACUGUCACUUAUAGAUGGAUCCGCGCCGCAUUAGCUAGUUGGUAAGGUAACGGCUUACCAAGGCAACGAUGCGUAGCCGACCUGAGAGGGUGAUCGGCCACACUGGAACUGAGACACGGUCCAGACUCCUACGGGAGGCAGCAGUAGGGAAUCUUCCGCAAUGGGCGAAAGCCUGACGGAGCAACGCCGCGUGAGUGAUGAAGGUCUUCGGAUCGUAAAACUCUGUUAUUAGGGAAGAACAAAUGUGUAAGUAACUAUGCACGUCUUGACGGUACCUAAUCAGAAAGCCACGGCUAACUACGUG